GCCAGGUGUGGUGGCACAUAUCUGUAGUCGCAGCUACUCAGGAGGCUGAGGCAGGAGGAUUGCUUGAGCCUAGGAGUUCAAGGCUGCAGUGAGCCAUGAUAGCACCACUGCACUCCUGCCUGGGUGAUAAAGCAAGACCCUGUCUCAA
ensembl:misc_RNA Metazoa_SRP Metazoan signal recognition particle RNA